rnacentral:lncRNA from 1 species
AAAGGCAAUCCCAGCCCAGACACGUGGGUUGGAGCAGCGUCGCGUUUCUGGGCAAUUGCUCCUGAGACCCAACAGGCAGCAACGGUCCCAAGGGUGAGGGAGUGGGCAGGGAGAGGCUGAUGGGGCUUCUACACGUUCCCUCCCGUAGCUGGGCUGCUGCAGCUCGUUCGCCCCAGAGGCGCGCGGUGUCCUUGAGUCCAAGUAUUCAGCGCGGACGUUUGGGGGACGGAGGGAGAGGCGCUAGGGGAACUGGCACCUAAGACUGUGUAAUAGGACACAGGUCUUGCAAGUCCUCCUCCCCAGGCACCGCCCCUGUGCUCCCAGCGCCUCUUUGCAGCUUUAAUUAUCCUUUCAGCGCCGUUCCCCCGCGGCUGCGUUUCCGUGGUCAGAGGAAAAAGGCUCUUUCGCCUCCCGGUUCUCACCCUCAUACAGACCCUCCUUUCAGACCCGCCCUCCUGUUCACAGGGACCCAUUUCGGAGCCCUGGCUCACGCUGGGCGGGAACUGCCGUGACGAAUUCCCCCCAAGGUGUUGAUUAUCCAUCCCAACCCAGCCUCUGGCUUCCCUCCCACCUCCACCCCAGCUCCCACAGGCCCCUCGCCCCGUUCAUCGGCUGGGCGCUCGAGACGGCGCCCCCAGAUCUCCCACCGGGCAGUGUCCCCAGCUGCAGCUGAGGAGAGAAGCGCCGGCGUGCGCGGUGCCACGUCGGAAUUGGCUCUGGGGACGCCGCAGCUGCCGAAGCGCAGCGCGCGGUCCCCACGCACGCCCUGCCUCCGGGCGGCCGGCGGGCUGGCCCGGCGAGGAGAGGAGGGAUGCGCGCCCUCCUCCCGCUCCUAUCUGCGGGUGCCACCGCCUGCGUCAGGGACCCCUGGCCCGAUCUUUCUGCCCCCGAUAACAGAAAAUCUCUUUUUCGUCUUAAAAAAAAAAAAAAAAAAAAAAAAAGCCUGUGGAAGACUCAGCAGAACCCAGGAAGCGCAGAAUUGGGAGAAAAGUCUUUGGCUGGGGCUGUUUCAAGUCUCUGGUUCAAUGGGCUGCUCGAAGCCAGGACUGGGUAAUUCUUUCCAGACGUCUUGACUUCUCCUUCCCCGCCGUUGUUGCCCUUCUGCCUCCUCCAACUUAAGGGGGUCUUAACAAGAUCUUCUGAGGGGUGGACUUCUUUGGAACUCGACAGGACCUUGAAGACUGGGUUCUUAGUCCUUAUCACAUAUAUGGGCUAUAAUGAAUAAGUCUAAACAGAAAAGUCGAAUAAACUGGAAAUGAUGCUUUCAUCACGUCGCACAAGAAAAACACAUUUGUUGUUUCUCGCCUCUUGUAAUUCAUGACCCAUAAGACAAAAGUAAAAUGUUCUCUGACUGCAAAUG